rnacentral:rRNA from 1 species
CCCUUAGAUGUCCUGGGCCGCACGCGCGCUACACUGAACAGUUCAACAAGUCUUAACCUUGGCCGAUAGGUCUGGGUAAUCUUUGAACGCUGUUCGUGAUUGGGAUAGACCUUUGCAAUUAUGGGUCUUCAACGAGGAAUUCCUAGUAAACGCAAGUCAUCAGCUUGCAUUGAUUACGUCCCUGCCCUUUGUACACACCGCCCGUCGCACCUACCGAUUGAAUGGUCCGGUGAAAUCUCGGGACGGCGGCUUGGUCGCUUGCGUCCGACUGCUGAAACUUGAUUAAACCAUAUCAUUUAGAGGAAGGUGAANUCGUAACA